UACAGUGCAUAUUCGAUUUUUGGUUUAGUUUUUGGAAAAUAAGCUAGACAAUUCUUUUUUCAUGUGUUUAGGUUAAUUUAGAGCUAAUAUUUUGGAAUUGCAAAAAAAAUCUAUGUUCUCCGGUCCAUAUUACAUGGUGCUUUUAGCUUUUAUAUUUAGUCCAAAAUAAAUAUUUUUUACAUAAUCAAUAAGGUAUUAAUUAUUUUAAAAAAUUUACCCCUAUUAAUUAGAUAAGUAAAUUUUUACAUACCCAAGAAACUAUAUUAAAUUGGUCCUAAUUUAUUAAGGAUAAUUAUAAACACCAUAUAAUAUGGACCGGGGAGAGUAGUUUAAGAUUAUUUUUUCCAGUUCUUUUUUUAAUUUGAUUUCUAAUUCUUUUGCUUUCUCUUUACGUCAUCAGGUUAAAAUUAUCUUCAAGAAGACGUAAACUAUCUACAGUAAUCUCAAUUAUAUUUGAUAACAUAAAGAUAAAGUCAAUGAUGUGCUAUAACCGGAUUACAUAAAAUUAUUCUUUUAAAUUAUUAUUUUCUAACAACUUUUCUAAUCCAAAGGGAUAAUAUUCCUUAUUUCCUUCACAUGGGAAGGUCAUAGUACUAGUAGUACAAUCAUAUAUCAUGUACUUUUCUUUUUUAAAAGAGUAUGUCUCUUAACACUUGUAUAAAAGGAAUCAGAUUCAGAUCUAAUUUGUGUGCAACAAGAACAACUAGUUGUGUUAUAAGUCAAGAGUUAGAGCAGAAAAAGAAGAUGGUAGUUUGUUGGUAACUGGGGUCCCAAAAUUGGUGUCCACUAUCCCUUCCUAUUGGCCUGCGCCGUGCCCAAUCAAACUACACCACAUAAGUUGAGACGGAGGGAGUAUGUGCUUGUUUUCUUUGCAUAAAAACAGUUAUGGCAUAGCUUCAUGGAGCAAAACAAGGUGGCAGACCUUUUGGCCAAGGAAGGAGGGAAGCAGCAGAUUUUUGAGGAAAUGAAAAUAUUAGAAGUACCUCCUAAUUUUGUAAUAAAUGUGGAACUGUCUUUUGAAAGGUCUGUACCUUUUUGUGCCACCCAUGGGGGUGGUUCUUUUGGACAACUAAAUGGCUUUCAUGCCAUAAAAGCUCAUGUAACUAGUGUGUAGGUAUUUAAUAUAUCAGUAGUAUCUGUUUAACAAAAAAAAAUGUCUUUUUUUUGCUGCAUUUGGAGUUAAUACCUUGUAAUUUUGUAUAAUCCCAGAGAUGAGAACAAAUCUCAACAGCAUCUGAUUCUUGCUA